GAUGGCCCGCACUAUGGAACCAGUGGCAAAGAAGAUCUUUAAAGGAGUUUUAGUAGUUGAACUCUUGGGCGUUUUUGGAGCUUAUUUUUUGUUUAAUAAGAUGAACACAAGCCAAGAUUUCAGGCAAAUAAUGAGCAAGAAAUUUCCCUUCAUCUUGGAAGUUUAUUACAAAUCCAUUGAACAGUCUGGAAUGUAUGGAGUCAGACAGCAAGAUCAAGAAAAAUGGUUGAAUAGCAAAAAUUAGGAGUCCAUGGCGGUGAAGAAUAUAAUGGCUCCUACCCUUAUCUGCGCUGAGGCGCUAGCAGUUUUAGCCAGCAUUUCUUUAGUAUCAUCAGUGCCACUGUUAACAGAGUGACAAAGGCAAAUAACGUGCCUUGGUAGCACUACGAAAGGAGCUGUGACCUUGUAGACUCACUGAAAAGGUGUCGAGGGGCCCACAGGAGUCUGUGAGGCAAACUGAAGUUUGGGGAGAUGAAAUAAGUUGACCAAGAGUUCCACGACAAGUUUGAAGAAAUGGGUCUGGCACAUUUCUUGAUCCCCAAGGUUUAGUGUGUUUUUCUUUACAGCUCAAAUGAAGAGGUUGCAUUUCCAAAAGGUAUCUGCUUUAAUUUCUAAGAUCAAAAUUACUUUAAAAUGUGUUACUAUCUGUAGUAUUAUUAAUAAGUAGACAAGUGCUUCACACUAUUAAAAAUUUACUUCUAAAAAAAAAAAUUUACUUCUAAGUUCCUGAAUAUAUCUGGUUAUAAAAGCUCUACUUAACAAAAAAAGAAUACAGAGGAUUUCUAAAAUGGUAUAGUGUUAAUUUCUAUUAAGAUCAAAGCAGGGGGCCCUGGCUGGCUCAGUCGGUAGAGCAUGUAACUUUUGAUCUUGGGGUUGUGAGUACAAGCCCCACAUUGGGUGCAUAUUACUUAAAAAAAAAAAAACUAAAUCUUUAAAAAAAAAAAAGAUCAAAGGAGAAUCCAAUUCCUGUUUAAAAGUUCAAGAGAACAAUGUAAAGAUUUAAGAAACUCACCUUUCAAGUUAUCAAAGUGCACCCAAGAAGCAGACUCUGAUUUUUUUGUUUCCUUAGGACUGUCAGACACAGUUUCUUCUGUCUCAGCUUUUUUUACUGUAUCUGUUUCUUUAUCUGCAUCAGUGAAUUUUUCUAUGUCUUCAUCAUCUCCUAUGUCGAUAAAAUUCUCUUCAUCAGACUCCUAAAACAAUGGUUUAAUAAAUCUGCAUUAAUCAACUGGAAGUCUGUAUUCAGUUAUGUGAGGGAGUUUUGAAGAUGAUCCUCUUAUUGCUAUAACGGUAAAACAUGAAAAUUCCAUCAAUCAAAUUUAUGAGACACCAUAUUCUUUUUUCUAAAUGUAAGAAUUAAGUUGAGCCACAACUCCCUGAGACUUUGGGACUUUUUUACAUGAAAACAUUCAGCCCUCAAAUUUCUGAUGUGUUAUAAAUAACCCUAUGAAGUAGGUGCUACUAUGUCCAUUUCACAACUGAGGAAACAGGUUUAAGAGAUCCACUAGCUCUGUAACUGUAACUACCUCAUACAAUUACGGUUUAGUAUAGUACAGUUUACAACGAGUAAAGGGAUCAAGCAACAUGCCCACCCAGGAAAACUGUACACCUGGGACUAAAAUUCAGGUCUGUCCAACUCCAGGACUCACACAUGUUCAUGCUCCAGAGAACUAAGUAAGUUACUGUCAUUGAAGCUAAGAAGAAAAAUACCAAUAUAUUUCAGAACCCACUCGAUUUAAAAAGCAGUUAUAAGAUAUACCGGAUGAUCGUCUAGUUGACUUCUUAAGCCUGGUUUUGCUUUAAGGAUCUCAGACACAAGGUAUAAAGCUCCACAUAUGAAUGGUGGCAUCUGUUCACAAGUAACUUGGAGUAACCUCUUCACAAAAGCCUUCACCCUGCGCAACACGAUGUCAGCUUUCAAAGAUUUGUAGAUAAGAUUAAGAAACAUAGCUUGCUUAGAACACAUCAUCAAUCCUGGAUCCAACAUCUUCCUAUAAAACAAAACCAAGAUCAAAUGUUUAUUCAUAAAAUAUCUCUACAACCAGUAGUAGAGGCAACUGCUAACCUCAUCUUAGGGAUAACCUUCCUGUUUAUUUUAGAUCAAGAGACCUAAGACGUAAAAUGGAAGUCAAUGACCCAAACAGAAAGAAUGAUGAUCUUGGGGGAGGGUAGGAAUAUCAACAGGAGAAAGACAUUUUUUGUGUGUUUUCUCUUUUCUAAGGGGUUUUUCAUUCUCUAGGAUAACAGCAUAAUUUUUAUACAGAUACAGAACCUCACACAAAAGGCUAAUCCAAAACCAGAUAAUGAAAGCUGACCUAUGAAAGCAGUGGACUAGACCGGUGUUCUUAUCCUUGUAUCACUACCCCCUAGCUGGGGGACCAGAGGCCUCCACAUGAUUCUAAUGAACACACGUAGAGUAGAAAAUUGAACAUAAUAAUUUUAAAAUUUUCUCUUUAUCCUAGCUGCUAAAUCCUAGAGAUGCUCCAACUGCUCUUGCCCUCCAGACAUUAGAAUAUCCAGAAUUAACACAAUCCUGUGUAUGCUCAUGUGCAAUAUUACUUCUUAUUCUAAGCAUUUCUAUUAACUUUUUUCCAUUAAUAUUAGAAAUGGAAAUAUCUGACCCUGUGAAGCAUUUUCAUAUUGCUCUUUCCCUCAUUUGUUACUUCCAUAAUUCUGGUGAUAUUGAGAUAUCCUAUAUUAUACAAUUUUUUUUUUUUUAAAGAUUUUAUUUAUGGGUUAACAUACACAUGAACUCAGUAAAGUGCCAGUUUUCUCAUUUUUUAGCUAUGUAACCUUGGGAAGUUUUAUAAUUGUAAUAACCUACAGGAUAGGUGCACUCCUCUUCAUUUUAUAGACAAACUGGGCCACAGUAAAAUGGGAUUAAUCGUGUUUACCAAUAGGGCUUUAAAGAGGAUUCAGUAAUUUGUCCAAAGUUACACAGCAAACUAAUGGCUGGGACUCAAAUCCAGGCACUGUGGCUUAAGUUCAAGAUAUUAAUCAGUACAUUAUAUUUCUCACAAGAUACAUGUUAUGUAAAAUUAUUAAAAUGAAUUAAAGGAAUAUAUAGCUUGUUGGUAUACUUAAACAGUUCCAAAGUGUUUACACACUGUUCAAAAUAUCAUCCCUCAAUAAGUAUGUCAGGACAACAGCAAAAUUCAAUGAACAAAAUCUUAAUCCCAAUUAAAAAAAUUCCAAAAAUGCAACCCUAACCCUCCCUAACAGACUUUCGUUUACCAUCUGUUUUCCUCAAUAUGAGUGUAAGCAACUCUAGGGGUGGGAAUUUUGUUCAGUGCUAAGCCAAAGCACCUGGAAAUGUCCAGCAUAUAGAUGGCACUCAAAAAAUUGCUGUUGAAUGAAUUACUAAAUGGCUGUGUGAAGGACAGGGGGAGGAAAUAUAGGACUGAGGAGGUGAGUGAGGGGGAAGGGACUGAAGGAAACUUCAAUUAUAUCUGCAGUUCUAAUUUUUUAAUAUUCGAAAGAUUUAAAACAUAUAGCAGAAUGUUAAGGUUGAAAUAUUAGGUGGUAGGAUAUGGAUGUUUUGGGGGAGGGUAUUUUUCUGUAUUUUAGCAAGUUCUCAGAACAAAAAAUAAAAUAAUGUAUGCAAAAUAUUUAACAUAGUUUUCCAAGAGGAAAACAAAGAUUAGUGACUUACUCAAAGUUGGUGACUAGCAAGUUGCUGAGGGGGGCCUAAAAUCCAGUUUUCUAAGUUUCUUGCCCCAUAGAGGGGCACAGUAAGUGCUGUGUAUUAAAUCACAUUAUUAAAUCAUGUUAUUCCUCAUUCACCUAUUGAAAUGGAAUGUACUUACCUAUAUAAUGCUGCAUAGUAUCGAUCUGAUAUCGUCUGCUGAGAAUUCAUUACUUGGAAAAGCAACAUUAAAGCCUGUACGCUGGUAUUAAAAUUCACAGCAUGCAACACUUUAAAGAGCGUGUCGACCUGCUCCCUCACUUUGUCAUCACCAGUCUGGGCGUAAGGGUAUGCCCUAUUUACUCCUGUUAAAAGGGCACUAAGCAUUUUUGAUUCAAUAUCUUUUUUCUUGAUACAA